AUUGAACGCUGGCGGCAUGCCUUACACAUGCAAGUCGAACGGUAACAGGUCUUCGGAUGCUGACGAGUGGCGAACGGGUGAGUAAUACAUCGGAACGUGCCCGAUCGUGGGGGAUAACGCAGCGAAAGCUGUGCUAAUACCGCAUACGAUCUACGGAUGAAAGCGGGGGAUCGCAAGACCUCGCGCGGACGGAGCGGCCGAUGGCAGAUUAGGUAGUUGGUGGGAUAAAAGCUUACCAAGCCGACGAUCUGUAGCUGGUCUGAGAGGACGACCAGCCACACUGGGACUGAGACACGGCCCAGACUCCUACGGGAGGCAGCAGUGGGGAAUUUUGGACAAUGGGCGCAAGCCUGAUCCAGCCAUGCCGCGUGCAGGAUGAAGGCCUUCGGUUGUAAACUGCUUUGUACGGAACGAAAAGCUCUCUCUAAUACAGGGGUGAAUGACGGUACCGUAAGAAUAAGCACCGGCUAACUACGUGCCAGCCGCCG
rnacentral:rRNA from 1 species